UACGAAGGGGGCUAGCGUUGCUCGGAAUCACUGGGCGUAAAGCGCACGUAGGCGGCUUUUUAAGUCAGGGGUGAAAUCCUGGAGCUCAACUCCAGAACUGCCUUUGAUACUGAGGAGCUUGAGUCCGGGAGAGGUGAGUGGAACUCCGAGUGUAGAGGUGAAAUUCGUAGAUAUUAGGAAGAACACCAGUGGCGAGGGCGGCUCACUGGUCCGUACUGACGCUGAGGUGCGAAAGCGUGGG
rnacentral:rRNA from 1 species